rnacentral:rRNA from 1 species
UACGUAGGGGGCUAGCGUUGUCCGGAUUUAUUGGGCGUAAAGAGCGUGUAGGCGGCCAGGUAGGUCUGCUGUGAAAACUCGAGGCUCAACCUCGAGACGUCGGCGGAAACCAUCUGGCUAGAGUCCGGAAGAGGAGAGUGGAAUUCCUGGUGUAGCGGUGAAAUGUGUAGAGAUCGGGAGGAACACCGGUGGCGAAGGCGGUCUUCUGGACGGUGACUGACGCUGAGGCGCGAAAGCGUGGGGAGCAAACGGG